rnacentral:rRNA from 1 species
AUACGUAGGGGGCGAGCGUUGUCCGGAAUUACUGGGCGUAAAGGGUGCGUAGGUGGUUUCUUAAGUCAGAGGUGAAAGGCUACGGCUCAACCGUAGUAAGCCUUUGAAACUGGGAAACUUGAGUGCAGGAGAGGAAAGUGGAAUUCCUAGUGUAGCGGUGAAAUGCGUGAUAUUAGGAGGAACACCAGUAGCGAAGGCGGCUUUCUGGACUGUAACUGACACUGAGGCACGAAAGCGUGGGGAGC